rnacentral:rRNA from 1 species
CGACGACCGGCGGAUGGGUGCGUAACGCGUAUGCAACUUGCCUCACAGAGGAGAAUAACCCGGAGAAAUCCGGACUAAUGCUCCAUACACUCUCGGGGACACAUAUUCCUGGGAGGAAAGAUUUAUCGCUGUGAGAUAGGCAUGCGUCCUAUUAGGUAGUUGGUGAGGUAACGGCUCACCAAGCCAACGAUAGGUAGGGGUGCUGAGAGGCAGAUCCCCCACAUUGGGACUGAGACACGGCCCAAACUCC